GACGAACCGUGCGAACGUUGUUCGGAAUCACUGGGCUUAAAGGGCGCGUAGGCGGCUUACCAAGUCCGGGGUGAAAUUUUGCGGCUUAACCGUAACAGUGCCUUGGAUACUGGUAGGCUCGAGGGAGAUAGGGGUCUGCGGAACUUCUGGUGGAGCGGUGAAAUGCGUUGAUAUCAGAAGGAACGCCGGUGGCGAAAGCGGCAAACUGGAUCUCUUCUGACGCUGAGGCGCGAAAGCUAGGGGAGCAAACGGGAUUAGAAACCCCCGUAGUCC
rnacentral:rRNA from 1 species